GAUGAACGCUGGCGGCGUGCCUAAUACAUGCAAGUCGAGCGAACAGAUAAGGAGCUUGCUCCUUUGACGUUAGCGGCGGACGGGUGAGUAACACGUGGGUAACCUACCUAUAAGACUGGGAUAACUUCGGGAAACCGGAGCUAAUACCGGAUAAUAUUUCGAACCGCAUGGUUCGAUAGUGAAAGAUGGUUUUGCUAUCACUUAUAGAUGGACCCGCGCCGUAUUAGCUAGUUGGUAAGGUAACGGCUUACCAGGGCGACGAUACGUAGCCGACCUGAGAGGGUGAGCGGCCACACUGGACCUGAGACACGGUCCAGACUCCUACGGGAGGCAGCAGUAGGGAAUCUUCCGCAAUGGGCGAAAGCCUGACGGAGCAACGCCGCGUGAGUGAUGAAGGUCUUCGGUUCGUAAACCUCUGUUAUUAGGGAAGAACAUACGUGUAGGUAACUGUGCACGUCUUGACGGUACCUAAGCAGAAGGCCACGGCUAACUACGU
rnacentral:rRNA from 1 species